UACGGAGGGUGCAAGCGUUACUCGAUUCACUGGGUUUAAAGGGUGCGUAGGAGGGCAGGUAAGUCAGUGGUGAAAUCCCCGAGCUUAACUUGGGAACUGCCGUUGAUACUAUCUGUCUUGAAUACCGUGGAGGUGAGCGGAAUAUGUCAUGUAGCGGUGAAAUGCUUAGAUAUGACAUAGAACACCAAAUUGCGAAGGCAGCUCGCUACACGAAUAUUGACUCUGAGGCACGAAAAGCGUGGGGAUCAAAACAGG
rnacentral:rRNA from 1 species